rnacentral:rRNA from 1 species
UACGGGGGGGGCAAGCGUUGUUCGGAAUUACUGGGCGUAAAGGGCUCGUAGGUGGCCAACUAAGUCAGACGUGAAAUCCCUCAGCUUAACUGGGGAACUGCGUCUGAUACUGGAUGGCUUGAGUUUGGGAGAGGGAUGCGGAAUUCCAGGUGUAGCGGUGAAAUGCGUAGAUAUCUGGAGGAACACCGGUGGCGAAGGCGGCGAUCUGGGUAGAUACUGACGCUGAGGUGCGAAAGCGUGGGGAGCAAACAGG